UAGGGAAUCUUCGGCAAUGGACGAAAGUCUGACCGAGCAACGCCGCGUGAGUGAAGAAGGUUUUCGGAUCGUAAAACUCUGUUGUUAGAGAAGAACAAGGAUGAGAGUAGAACGUUCAUCCCUUGACGGUAUCUAACCAGAAAGCCACGGCUAACUACGUGCCAGCAGCCGCGGUAAUACGUAGGUGGCAAGCGUUGUCCGGAUUUAUUGGGCGUAAAGCGAGCGCAGGCGGUUUCUUAAGUCUGAUGUGAAAGCCCCCGGCUCAACCGGGGAGGGUCAUUGGAAACUGGGAAACUUGAGUGCAGAAGAGGAGAGUGGAAUUCCAUGUGUAGCGGUGAAAUGCGUAGAUAUAUGGAGGAACACCAGUGGCGAAGGCGGCUCUCUGGUCUGUAACUGACGCUCAGGUGCGAAAGCGUGGGGAGCAAACAGG
rnacentral:rRNA from 1 species